rnacentral:rRNA from 1 species
GGAUUUUAAUUGAAUUCUGGAAUGAAUGGUUGGAUGAGAAAUAUACUUUCUUUAUUUUAAAAAAAUAAUUUAAUUUUUGAGUUAAAAAGCUCAAAUGUUUUUAUAGGACGAGAAGACCCUAUAAAGCUUUACUUAUAAGAUAUAUUGAUUAUUUUGGAUGAUUAUUUGAUUAAUAUGUUUUAUAAGUUCUAUUGGGGCGAUAGGAAAAAUUAUAUAACUUUUCUUUAUAUGGACAUUUAUUUAUGUUUUAUUGAUCCUAUUUUAUGGAAAAAAGACUAAGUUACUUUAGGGAUAACAGCGUUAUUUCUUUAUAGAGUUCUUAUCGAUAAAGGAGUUUGCGACCUCGAUGUUGGAUUAAAAUAAGUUUUGGGAGUAAAAUAUCAUUAACUAGGUCUGUUCGACCUUUAAAUUUUUACA